AAUUAAUUAUAAAUAUAUUUUGAAAAUAUAUUAAAGAAAAUAAAAUUUCUAUUAAUUU
rnacentral:tRNA from 1 species